rnacentral:snRNA from 13 species
GUACUCGCUUCGGCGGUACAUAUACUAAAAUUGGAACAGAGAAGAUUAGCAUGGCAAGGAUGUCACGCAAAAUCGUGAAGCGUUCCACAUUUUA